AGGGGAGAGAUGGUAAUGAGACAGGGGAGAGAUGGAAGGGGAGAGAUGGAAGGGGAGAGAUGGAAGGGAGACAGGGGAGAUAUGGAAGGGAGACAGGGAAGAGAUGGUAGGGAGACAGGGUAGAGAUGGAAGGGAGACAGGGGAGAGAUGGUAGGGAGACAGGGAGAGAUGGAAGGAGACAGGGGAGAGAUGGAAGGAGACAGGGGAGAGAUGGUAGGGAGACAGGGUAGAGAUGGAAGGGAGACAGGGGAGAGAUGGAAGGGAGACAGGGGAGAGAUGGAAGGGAGACAGGGGAGAGAUGGUAAUGAGACAGGGUAGAGAUGGAAGGGGGACAGAGGAGAGAUGGAAGGGAGACAGGGUAGAGAUGGUAAUGAGACAGAGUAGAGAUGGAAGGGAGACAGGGGAGAGAUGGAAGGGAGACAGGGUAGAGAUGGUAAUGAGACAGGGUAGAGAUGGAAGGGAGACAGGGGAGAUAUGGAAGGGAGACAGGGGAGAGAUGACAGGGGAGAGAUGGAAGGGGAGAGAUGGUAGGGAGACAGGGGAGAUAUGGAAGGAGACAGGGGAGAGAUGGAAGGGAGACAG
ensembl:lncRNA